rnacentral:rRNA from 1 species
AUUGAACGCUGGCGGCAUGCUUUACACAUGCAAGUCGAACGGCAGCGCGGUCUUCGUCCUGGCUGCGCGUGGCGAACGGGUGAGUAAUGCAUCUGAACGUGCCCAGUUGUUGUUUAUAGCCCGGCCAAAGCCGGAUUAAUACCGCCUACGACCUGAUGGUGAAAGCGGGGGACCGAAAGGCCUCUCGCUCUUGUGGCGUCCGAUGCCGGAGUAGCUAGUUGGUGGGGUAAAGGCUUACCAAGGCAACGAUCCGUAGGUGGUCUGAGAGGACGACCAGCCACACUGGGACUGAGACACGGCCCAGACUCCUACGGGAGGCAGCAGUGGGGAAUGUUGGACAAUGGGGGCAAACCUGAUCCAGCCAGGCCGCGUGCGGGAAGAAGGCCUUCGGGUUGUAAACCGCGUUUGUUGGGGAAGAAAACCUCUGGGCUAAUACCCCGGGGGGAUGACGGUACCGGAAGAAUAAGCACCGGCUAACUACGUG